AUUGAACGCUGGCGGCAGGCCUAACACAUGCAAGUCGAACGAGUGGCGGACGGGUGAGUAAUGUCUGGGAAACUGCCUGAUGGAGGGGGAUAACUACUGGAAACGGUAGCUAAUACCGCAUACCAUCGGAUGUGCCCAGAUGGGAUUAGCUUGUAGGUGGGGUAACGGCUCACCAAGGCGACGAGCCCUAGCUGGUCUGAGAUGAUGACCAGCGACACUGGAACUGAGACACGGUCCAGACUCCUACGGGAGGCGGCAGUGGGGAAUAUUGGACAAUGGGCGCAAGCCUGAAGCAGCAAUGCCGCGUGAAUGAAGAAGGUUUUCGGGUUGUAAAUUGCUGUCCUCGGGGACGCGGUACCUGAAGAAGAAGCGCCGGCUAACUACGUGCCAGCAGCCGCGGUAAUUC
rnacentral:rRNA from 1 species